rnacentral:lncRNA from 1 species
GCAACAAUUUUCCUUUAUGUUUUUGGUAAUAUUGCAAAUUAAAAAUAACAAAGAUUCGUUGCUUUGUUGUUCAUGCUCUUUUAUUUUAUUUAAAACCAAUAAACAAUUGAGUUAUUUUUCUAUAUAUUAGAAGAGAAAGAUUUUCGACAUGUCUGUUUAAUGUCUUUUUAAAAAAGCUUGAGGAUAAUUAGUCAUUUAGAAAAUUUCUAUACGUGCCUUUUUCCCCUUCCACAAAUACUACGUGUAGCCUUUUGGUUUCUGUCUCAGCCACCACAUCUUUUUUCCAUCUUCAGUCCCAAUAUCUUCUCCAUCGUAUUAUCGUAUUUUCCAUGGAUUUCAGAGCAUUGUUAUUUGCUCCAUCAAGAUAAUCUCUUCUGUUUCUUUUCCUUCAAUUGUUGUUGGGUUUGGAUUGUUUCCUCCAGGAUCCAGCUAAAUUAAUUUAAUUUAGCAGUUUAAACUCGAUUUAUUUUUGCAAUUUGUAUAAUCCAGGCCCUUAAAAUUUCUCUAUUCCAAUUUUGCUCUGCAAUUUUUGUUGCAAUGUUUGGGGUAUUUCAAAUUUGCAUGUGCUUGUUAAUCGAUCUCUGUCCUUCAGAUUUUGACUGUAAACUUCAUGUAUGCCGGGAGAUGAAGAUGAGAAGUAAUACUUGGAACAAAAAAAAAAGGUAAAAAUUGCUACUCCUUAUAGAUAGCUAUUUUGCAUAUGAAUUAUUUCCAGUAAUAUUUGAUUGAAUAGUUUAGUUACAUGAAAAUUUUAGUUUUAUCGUGCUGCUUCUUGAAUUUAUUGUUAAAAGAGAAAAAACAGAAGUUUGCCAGCACAACUGAAGUCUGAGUAGUAUUUGCAGUUUGUUAAAGUAUCUGUUAUUUUUAUUUUACUAUCUUAAAAAUAUACGCGCUCUAGGGACACCAAUAACUAUAUAGAUUCAAAAUUGAUGCAAAAAGGGGAAGUUCUCUACCUAAGUAUAUCAAGUGUAAUUAUAUUUUAGGGUUAUGACUUUUAUCCCAAUUGAAUGUACCUAUUGUAUCCUAAUGUGUAUCUGUUUACCUUAUUGUUCAACCUACCUGGGCUAAUAUUUGUUGAAUUUACAACGGAAAUAUAGUAAGUGACAAUUUUGUUAAUGUCUGAAAGUGAAGUUUUUGUAGCGACAAUGCUUGGUGAACAUGUUGAUGAGAUUUGAAUUGUUGGGAGUAUCUUCCAUAACUAUGUACCAGCAUAAAUUUCAACAGUUUCUACCCUUCACCAGCCCUACAAUAUUGAUAAAUGAUCAUUGAAGGAACAAAGAAAAUGAUUCAAAAAGAUCUUUAUGUCUUAGGAAGGACAUUGUUCUGUACUUCGUUAGUCUAUUGUCAUAUGCUUAUUCAUAACGCUAAAUAGUUAUGCUUUAUAAUUCGUGUUAUUGUGUUAAUAUGUCUCUACUUUAGUAAUAAAUUUAUAUGCUUACAAAUAAAAGAAAGAUGGACAACGCCUAAAUUGAGCAGAUUAGGAACGUUCAUAUCUUGGUGAAAAGAAUAGUGAGAAAUACCAAAGACAGCGUAUAUCACAUGGAGAGAAAUGGUACAUAAUUCAUUUUCCAUAAGACUCUUAAACGUCGUGAGAUUUGACGCUGCAGAAUAAUAUUCAUUAACUUCUAGCACAAGCAAAUAUUUUUAUCUCAGCUAUCAUGGUUCCUUACUUCGACAGGGUACAAAUAUUUAAAUUUGAUAUUUUUAGAUACUUUCUACUGGUGCAACACCAAGUGCAGUUCCUGUACAGAAGACUUCAUUUGCACUAAUUACAUGUAAGACUAUAAAGCAAGUCAAAUAAAUUCAAACACAAAUUAUAACUCAAUGUAUUUUCUAUACCCAAUAAUUAUCCAUCAUAUUUUGUUAAAAUAUAUGGAAUUAAGACAAUAGUUUAGGUGAAUAGACGGUAAAGUAUGCUACAAUCAAGAAUUUAAAGAGAAUUUUCAAAAAAUAUUUCUUUUAAUAAUUGUGAUGUGCGGAUGUGUUACUUUCUACUUUUUUCAUUCUGAUAAUUUGUAUUACAGCAUAAAGAAAUUAGACAAUUUAUGUACUUGAUGGGAUUGGAAAACUCAAUAGAAGUAGCUUCUUACUUUCUUUCAUGUGCACUUCUAUUCUAUUUUUUAUAUAUAUAGUUUCAAGAUCGUGCUUAUGCAAAGCCAUGAAAACUAUACAUUAAACAUUCAAUUUUUUAUUUGAACAUUACAUAUAUGAAUAGGGAUUAAGGCGUGUUUUAUACCAGCAUCACUAUUCGCUAUUACAAGUAAUUCAUUUAUCAAUAUUGAAUUUCAAUUGCAACAUUUCUGACAAAGGUACAAAAUGGUAUCAGAUGAUCAAACUAAGAUUGCAACAUCAAAAUAAAAAAAAAUAAAAAAGGUAAGGAAUUAUCAAUCCAUUGAUAUUUUAUUUCCUAAAAUAGACAAAUUAAAGAAUAGAAUAAGUAGGAUUAUAUUUUGGAAAAUAAUUGUGAGCCAACCGUGCCUUUUGCUCUUGCACAGGUAAAAAACAUUGCAUAAAAUUUCAGCAUUUCUUAUAGACUUGGCAUCCUGCUCCUACUUAAGUACGUCUGGUAGUGCAACAGACUUGAAUUACAUGCAAGCAUGGGCCUGUAUGUGUUCAUCCUUUCAUUUCAAUUGGCGAUUAUAUGAUCAAAUUUAUUAUUUUGCCUUUUGUUUUAUUUUGCUAAGUUAUCUCCUAUAUGAAGAUCGUUUUCCUUCUAAACUUUGCAGGAAUCCAGUGGCCUUAGUGUAUUGGUCGAAAUCUGACCGUCUCGGCUGAGCUGACCAAUGUCCCGCCCAAGUGACAGGGCAGUAAAAGACGACAUGGCCCACUUUACACCUCAUUCUCGACACCCGUCGAGUCAGAAGGAGCAAUGUCCAAAGGACGACCAAGGCACACUUGGUGCGAGAGAGCGUUGGACCAAGUAAACGGCAAGGGUGCCUAGACUAUAUAUAGUAGGGAAAAACCCUCGAUAGGAGAGGCUCUCUUUCCCAUUCUCUCCCCUAAGUUCUCUUCUUGUAAUCUUCAUAGGAAAGAAGUAAUCUACAGAAAAAACAUGUAAAACUACCUCUUCCAUUGAUUGAUGGGAGCCACAAUGAAAAAUUUCAAUAAGAUCGAUUACAUCUACUUCAUCUUAUAUACUAUCUAUUCUGUUAGCUCAUUGAUCUGGAAUUUAUUAUGUCUGACUAAGAUUUACCUCCUU